GCGUCCGCAGUCCGGUGGCCGCCCGCCGGCUCCGGUCCCUCCGCGCCGUUUUGGUGUGGCAGGCGCAGCCCCCGGGAGCAGCAUGGCGGCGGGCAGGGUCCGGGUCCAGGUCCGGGUCCCGGCAGCAGCAGAUGCAGAGGCAGCUCAAGCACAGGCCCUCGCUAAUGGUGCAGUGGCUGCGGCUGUUGGGUUUCAUAGGAAGCAGCAGAAUCCGUGGCAGAGAUAGAUAAAGAAGAGCACGGGG